CCCACCUUAAGCUCCUACUUUGAUAGAAUCAGAACCUAUUUUGUAUCUCCUAUCACAGGGUGAGGCUGAAACCAACAUCGAGUCUAAAUAACAACAAAAGAACUACAAUAGAGAGAGCAAAGGUAACCAACUAUCAAACCCGAACUGCCGUCCAGUAAGCUUGAUUAAGAACCACACAACGAUCGGGCAUCUGGAAAUGGAAGAGAAUAACGAUAAGCACCGGAAGGUCUAGAUGGAAGAUAAAUUGUAUUAGAAGAAAUACUAUACUAACUCCCUCUGCCACCCUCGAAAAACAUAUCAUGACCAUCAAAGGAUUGAUUGUGUGCAAUAACUGACUAAGAUUAGCCCUACCUUAAGCCCUACUUUGAUAAAAUUAAAACUUAAUUUUUAUCUCAUGUCAUAGGGUGGGGCAGAAAACAAUAUCACGUCUAUGUACAAACAAAAAUUGUUGAAAUGACAAAAGAUAACCAAACAUCAAACCAGAAGUGUCAUCCAGUUAAGAACCACCCCACGAUCAGACAUCUGGAAAUUGAAGAGUAUAUCUAUAAGCACGGGAAACUCUAGGUAGAAGAGAAAAUGUAUAGAAAUAAAAAUACUAUUAUGUACUCCCUUUGCCACCCUCGAUUAACACAAUAUCAAUGACUCAUCAAAGAUCUGUCCGCGUCCAAAAACCAGACCAAGAUAGCCCCCACAUUAAGCUCCUACAGUGAUGGAAUCAAAACCUAUUUUGUAUCUCCUGUCACAGGGUAGGCCCAAAACAAUAUCCAAGUCUAUAUAACAACAAAAGAAUAUAAUAGAGAGAUCAAAUGCAACCAAUUAUGAACCCAGAACUGCCUUCCAGUUAAGCUUGAUUAAGAACCAAACAACGAUCAGGCAUCUGGAAAUCGAAGAGAAUAACAAUAAGCACGGGAAAGUCAAGAUGGAAGAUAAAUUGUAGCAGAAUUAAUACAAUACUAUACUCCCUCUGACACCCUCGAUAAACAUUAUAUCAGUGACAGCAUCAAAAGUUGAUGUCUCCAGUAACUAGACCAAGAUUAGCCCCACCAUAAGCUGCUUCUUUCACAACUUAAUUUUUAACUCCUGUCACAAGGUGAGGCAGAAAACAAUAUCCACGUCUACGUAACAAAUAAAAGAUUGUUGAAACUGACAAAAGAUAACCAAGCAUACCAGAAGUGCCUUCCAGUUAAGAACCACACAACAAUCAGACAUCUGGAAAUUGAAGAGUAUAACUAUUAGCACGGGAAACUCUAGGUAGAAGAGAAAAUGUAGGUAGAAAAAAAAUACUAUUAGUACUCCCUUUACCACCCACUAUUAACACUAUAUCAAUGACAGCAUGAAGGAUUUGUCAGUGUCCAAAAACCAGACCAAGACAGCCCCCACCUUAAGCUCCUACUUGAUAGAAUCAGAACCUAUUUUGUAUCUCCUAUCACAGGGUGAGGCUGAAACCAACAUCCGAGUCUAAAUAACAACAAAAGAACUACAAUAGAGAGAGCAAAGGUAACCAACUAUCAAACCCGAACUGCCGUCCAGUUAAGCUUGAUUAAGAACCACACAACGAUCGGGCAUCUGGAAAUGAAGAGAAUAACGAUAAGCACCGGAAGGUCUAGAUGGAAGAUAAAUUGUAUAGAAGAAAUACUAUACUAUACUCCCUCUGCCACCCUCGAUAAACACACUAUAUAGUGACCACGUCAAAGGAUUGACUUGUGUGCAAUAACUUGACUAAGAUUAGCCCUACCUUAAGCUCCUACUUGAUAAAAUUAAAACUUAAUUUUUAUCUCAUGUCAUAGGGUGGGGCAGAAAACAAUAUCCACGUCUAUGUAGCAAACAAAAUUGUUGAACUGACAAAAGAUAACCAAACAUCAAACAGAAGUGUCUCCAGUUAAGAACCACCCCACGAUCAGACAUCUGGAAAUUGAAGAGUAUAUCUAUAAGCACGGGAAACUCGAGGUAGAAGAGAAAAUGUAGUAGAAUAAAAAUACUAUUAUGUACUCCCUUUGCCACCCUCGAUUAACACAAUAUCAAUGACUACAUCAAAGAUCUGUCGCGUCCAAAAACCAGACCAAGAUAGCCCCCACAUUAAGCUCCUACAGUGAUGGAAUCAAAACCUAUUUUGUAUCUCCUGUCACAGGGUAGGCUCAAAACAAUAUCCAAGUCUAUAUAACAACAAAAGAAAUAUAAUAGAGAGAUCAAAUGCAACCAAUUAUGAACCCAGAACUGCCUUCCAGUUAAGCUUGAUUAAGAACCAAACAACGAUCAGGCAUCUGGAAAUCGAAGAGAAUAACAAUAAGCACGGGAAAGUCAAGAUGGAAGAUAAAUUGUAGCAGAAUUAAUACAAUACUAUACUCCCUCUGACACCCUCGAUAAACAUUAUAUCAGUGACAGCAUCAAAAGUUGAUAGUCUCCAUAACUAGACCAAGAUUAGCCCCACCAUAAGUGCUUCUUUCACAACUUAAUUUUUAACCCCUGUCACAAGGUGAGGCAGAAAACAAUAUCCACGUCUACGUAACAAAUAAAAGAUUGUUGAAACUGACAAAAGAUAACCAAGCAUACCAGAAGUGCCUUCCAGUUAAGAACCACACAACA
rnacentral:lncRNA from 1 species